rnacentral:tRNA from 1 species
GGGGGUGUGGCUCAGUGUCAGAGCCCCUGUUUAACGCACACAAAGCCCUGGAUUCUAUCUCCAGUACUUUCA